GACGAACGCUGGCGGCGUGCUUAACACAUGCAAGUCGAACGAAAAUACCAAGCUUGCUUGGUUGUUUAGUGGCGAACGGGUGAGUAACACGUGAGUAACCUGCCCCUUACUUUCCUUGAUAACUUCUCGAAAGGGUAGCUAAUACGGGAUAUUCUGACCAGCCUGCUUGGGUUGGUUUGGAAAGGUUGUUUUUCUGGUAAGGGAUGGGCUCGCGGCCUAUCAGCUUGUUGGUGGGGUGAUGGCCUACCAAGGCUUUGACGGGUAGCCGGCCUGAGAGGGUGGAAGGUGAGACGGGGACUGAGAUACGGACCAGAAUGCGACGGGAGGGAGCAGUGGGGAAUAUUGCACAAUGGGCGAAAGCCUGAUGCAGCGACGCCGCGUGAGGGAUGAAGGCGUUCGGGUUGUAAACCUCUUUGGCAAGGGAACAAGGCACUGCUUUUUUGGUGGUGUUGAGGGUACCUGGAUAAGAAGCGCCGGCUAACUACGUG
rnacentral:rRNA from 1 species